GACAGAGGGUGCAAACGUUGUUCGGAAUUACUGGGCGUAAAGCGUGUGUAGGCGGUCUCAUAAGUCGGAUGUGAAAGCCCCGGGCUCAACCCGGGAAGUGCAUUCGAAACUGCGAGGCUAGAGUAUCGGAGAGGUUGGUGGAAUUCUCGGUGUAGAGGUGAAAUUCGUAGAUAUUCGGAAGAACACCAGUGGCGAAGGCGACUUACUGGACGACUGUUGACGCUGAGACGCGAAAGCGCGGGUAGCAAACAGG
rnacentral:rRNA from 1 species